CACGUAGGGCGCGAGCGUUGUCCGGAAUUAUUGGGCGUAAAGAGCUCGUAGGCGGCCUGUUGCGUCCGCUGUGAAAGCCCGGGGCUUAACCCCGGGUCUGCAGUGGAUACGGGCAGGCUAGAGGUAGGCAGGGGAGAAUGGAAUUCCCGGUGUAGCGGUGAAAUGCGCAGAUAUCAGGAGGAACACCGGUGGCGAAGGCGGUUCUCUGGGCCUUACCUGACGCUGAGGAGCGAAAGCGUGGGGAGCAAACAGG
rnacentral:rRNA from 1 species